UUCCGGUUGAUCCUGCCGGACCUGACUGCUAUCGGAUUGAUACUAAGCCAUGCGAGUCAUUGUAGCAAUACAAGGCAUACGGCUCAGUAACGCGUAGUCAACCUAACCUAUGGACGGGAAUAACCUCGGGAAACUGAGAAUAAUGCCCGAUAGAACACUAUACCUGGAAUGGUUUGUGUUCCAAAUGAUUUAUCGCCAUAGGAUGGGACUGCGGCCUAUCAGUUUGUUGGUGAGGUAAUGGCCCACCAAGACUAUUACAGGUACGGGCUCUGAGAGGAGUAGCCCGGAGAUGGGUACUGAGACACGGACCCAGGCCCUAUGGGGCGCAGCAGGCGAGAAAACUUUGCAAUGUGCGAAAGCACGACAAGGUUAAUCCGAGUGAUUUGUGCUAAACGAAUCUUUUGUUAGUCCUAGAAACACUAACGAAUAAGGGGUGGGCAAGUUCUGGUGUCAGCCGCCGCGGUAAAACCAGCACCUCAAGUGGUCAGGAUGAUUAUUGGGCCUAAAGCAUCCGUAGCCGGCUCUGUAAGUUUUCGGUUAAAUCUGUACGCUUAACGUACAGGCUGCCGGGAAUACUGCAAAGCUAGGGAGUGGGAGAGGUAGACGGUACUCGGUAGGAAGUGGUAAAAUGCUUUGAUCUAUCGAUGACCACCUGUGGCGAAGGCGGUCUACCAGAACACGUCCGACGGUGAGGGAUGAGAGCUGGGGGAGCAAACCGGAUUAGAUACCCGGGUAGUCCCAGCUGUAAACUAUGCAAACUCAGUGAUGCAUUGGCUUGUGGCCAAUGCAGUGCUGCAGGGAAGCCGUUAAGUUUGCCGCCUGGGAAGUACGUACGCAAGUAUGAAACUUAAAGGAAUUGGCGGGGGAGCACCACAAGGGGUGAAGUCUGCGGUUCAAUUGGAUUCAACGCCGGG
rnacentral:rRNA from 1 species